rnacentral:rRNA from 1 species
AACGAGCGCUGGCGGCAUGCCUAACACAUGCAAGUCGAACGAGACCUUCGGGUCUAGUGGCGCACGGGUGCGUAACGCGUGGGAAUCUGCCCUUGGGUUCGGAAUAACAGUUGGAAACGACUGCUAAUACCGGAUGAUGACGUAAGUCCAAAGAUUUAUCGCCCAAGGAUGAGCCCGCGUAGGAUUAGCUAGUUGGUGAGGUAAAGGCUCACCAAGGCGACGAUCCUUAGCUGGUCUGAGAGGAUGAUCAGCCACACUGGGACUGAGACACGGCCCAGACUCCUACGGGAGGCAGCAGUGGGGAAUAUUGGACAAUGGGCGAAAGCCUGAUCCAGCAAUGCCGCGUGAGUGAUGAAGGCCUUAGGGUUGUAAAGCUCUUUUACCCGGGAUGAUAAUGACAGUACCGGGAGAAUAAGCUCCGGCUAACUCCGUG